ensembl:lncRNA
UCUCUCACUUCCUCUCUCUCUCUCUCUCUCUCUCUCUCUCUGGCUCUGUGUGUGUAUCUCUCACUGUGUAUCUCUCGCUGUCUGUGUGUGUGUCUCUCUGUUGGUGUCUCUCUUUUUCUCUUUCUCUCUCACUCUUUGUGUCUCUCUCUCUCUGUGUGUGUGUCUCUCUCUCUCUCUGUGUGUCUCUGUGUGGAAUCACUUAUAAUACAGAUACAUAAGGAAUGUGGAAAUAAUGUUAAAAAGCAGAAUAAACAGGGGUUAUACACAGCCGGAGUUUGGCUUUCGGAAGCAAAAAAGAGAAUUGGACGCGCAGGAAAAAAGAUUAAAUCUGACAAGACUCAAGAGGCGCUGCCCCCCGCUCAAUACAGAGAUAAUCCAGUCGACGAAAUAGUGGUUGUAAGAAUACGGCUGCAGGAGCUACCUGUGAAAUUACCACCCAUGUAUGUGGAUCCCGCUGAAGCCGAGGGAGGUAUAAUGGAGUUAGAAAAGGGAAUAAAGUCGAGAAAAGUGGAUAAGGAUUCUAUGCAUUACAGGUGAACUACAGGUGAAGUCACUCAAUCCAGUCCCAGAGGCUUGUUGGGGGGACCAUACCAAGGACUCCUGGUGACAGCUAGCUGAAAGAGCUACCCAGAUUCGUAUCGCACGGUGGGAGGGUAAGACACAUUGACACUGUCGAACAAUAAACAGUGUUCGAGAGGAGAACUGGAAUUAACAGAAUUCCGGGGGCCAUCUCUCGAAUGAAGAAAAUCCUUCCUGUCUUUUCAUCCCUGUUUUUGUUCAUAGAAGUGAAGGUGUGUCUGGCGCUUGCUAAGUGAUGUGUUCUCGGGGAGAGGGUGGGGCUUCACAUGGAAGCUGUUCAUCUGAGCUGUCUUAUCGUGGGUGACAUAUUCCUGAUACAGCACGUCCUACUUGAGUAUGCGGAGAGUGGUAAUUUGACCCAUGGUUUAGACGAUGAGGAUUUUGUUCCAAAAUAAGCAUAAGAGAUCCCUAGAUCUGGGUAGACAGGAAGUUAGAGUAGAGGUUGGGAAGGAUCUCUCAAUGGAGUUUUAUGUAGACCAACAUGGAGUCUCUAACUACAUGGCAGUCUAGGACUCUGAGCCAUUAUGGCAUAUAUCGGUGCAGGUUCCCAUAUUGAUCGUGGACACAGGUCAUAGCUCAUUUGGAGAGAGAGGGUUAAUAUGAAUCCACUCACCCAGUAUGGAAGAAGGUAGAGUAUAGUGAAGGUGAGAGUUUUUGAUUGUAAUCAGGAGAGAGGGAUGUAUUGCAUAAAGAUACCCCUAACCCUUUAAACAGAAAUGAAGGAGGAUCUAGGGUUGUGGUAUGGACAUGACCAGGUCUUGGUCGACACCCUAGUACGGUUCUGGGUAGAGGAGUUUAGGCCGGUAUGGUAAAGCUGUUCAUUCACCUGUGUGACUGUUUAGUUUUAUGGGGCUGUUGUCUAAUUCCCUGUGUAUGAGGCCUUAUUUCCAGGACUCUGGAGAAAUCGAUGACAAUAGAUGGUGAGAUACCAGGGGAUUCCAGGUUCAGACCCGCGGAGUGCUGAUUGUAUGUCUACAGGACAAGUGGACGAAUCUGGAUCCUUCAGUUGCGGGCAAUUUAUGUUUGAAGAGACCAUUUUUGAUGUUUAGGUUGCAUCCCAUCUAGGUUGCAUCCCAUCUCAAUAUUAGACUGUUUUUUUAUGAAGAUUGUAACGAAAAUCCUGAUAAGAAGAGUUAUGAUUCUGAUGUAGGCCUGAGAAACAGUUAUGGCGAAUGCAAGUAUGGGGUUAUGUUUAGGUGAUGUUUUGAUGACAAGAAAUAUCUCUAAUAAAAAUAAAAUUUUUAUCAAUGAUGACUAAUUAUGUAUACAUUUCAAUCAGGACUGAAUAAUCCGAAUACUGUUAUGUUACUGUACAUGUAUGAAUUUUCUCUCUUGCUCCCAGUAUUGAAUAUAAUGUAGUCAAGAGUUUAGAACAAUGAUGGCCUGUUCCUUGGUACAAAUAAAUGAACUAUCUCCAGAUGGCAGGGACGGACUAUCUCCAGACUGUCUAGAAUGCUUAUCUACACUGACUGACCUUGGCUCUAGGCGAGGAGGGAAGGCUUGAGAUCUAUAGAGCCUUUCUACCAGUGUCAAGAAGAGACGGAACAUUUAGAAAACGCUGACGUCAUUUUCAGUUCAUAACCUGUGGUAAAAUGUGUAUGAACUCAGUACUCUCUUGAAUUAAAGGCUGUUACUUGACUUUUAA